ACGAACGCUGGCGGCGCGCCUAACACAUGCAAGUCGCACGGAGUCAAGAGGAGCUUGCUUUUCUUGACUUAGUGGCGAACGGGUGAGUAACGCGUGAGUAACCUGCCCUGGAGUGGGGGACAACAGUUGGAAACGACUGCUAAUACCGCAUAAGCCCACGGAUCCGCAUGGAUCUGCGGGAAAAGGAUUUAUUCGCUUCAGGAUGGACUCGCGUCCAAUUAGCUAGUUGGUGAGGUAACGGCCCACCAAGGCGACGAUUGGUAGCCGGACUGAGAGGUUGAACGGCCACAUUGGGACUGAGACACGGCCCAGACUCCUACGGGAGGCAGCAGUGGGGGAUAUUGCACAAUGGGGGAAACCCUGAUGCAGCGACGCCGCGUGGAGGAAGAAGGUUUUCGGAUUGUAAACUCCUGUCGUUAGGGACGAUAAUGACGGUACCUAACAAGAAAGCACCGGCUAACUACGUG
rnacentral:rRNA from 1 species